AUUUUUGAACAUAAUCCAGCGUAUUUUGAGGUUACGCUUUAUUUGUUGAUACUUGCAUGGACAGGUUUAUAUUUUACUGAAAUUUAUUUCUUCGCUCGAAUAUAAUUCGCAAACAAAAAGGAACAAGAAAACCUCUCGUCGACGAAAAUGUCAAUGAUAUGGAAAGAUGACAUGGACUUGAAUGUUGUGACGGAUUUGAAAUAUAUAUGGAGAGAGAAUCAAGAGAAAACUAUUAAGAGAUAAAGUGGAAACAAUGCACCAUUGAAAAUUUUGGUAACGAUGAUGAACAUCAGUAAAAUCUAUAAAUAUAAAAGGAAAAAUUAUCAAAAAUAUGGCAAACAAACGUUUGAUGAGGAAUUUUCUAUGUGUAUGUUACAUGACAGAAGCAAAAAAUGUUUAGCAUUCUUUCUUAUAAACCAAUUGAAAGUGGAACAUAUCCUAAUUGAGCUUCAAUUAGAAUUAAAUAUGACGUUUUAUUAAAUUAUUGUAUUAGUGUCUUUUUGCUUGACAUACUGAAAGAGAAGCCAGCAAAACUGUAUUCAGUUACAGAGCAUUUAAUACAGUAUCGUAAACUGUUCGACCAAUUGCAAUUGGAACAAGGAAAUUUAUAGAAGCAAAUGGCAGACAUAGUUAAUGUGAUUAAGGAGGGUAAAUCUCUAUUGUAUAUCAAAUGGUUCUCAAAUACUUUAUAAGAAUAUUCCAAAAAGAAGCAGUUAAAUAAAAACAUUAGCACCUCAGAAAGAAAUGGAAGACAAGAGCUUGUUAUCAGAUAGUAUGGAAAAUGAUUUAAAGGAAAUGUCAUGAUAGCAAAGCUAUAUAUAAUGGAAAGGAUACCACAAACAUAGAUCUUACGAAUAAAAAGGAAAAAAGAACGAUAACUAAAUAACAAAGAAUAGAGAUCUUAUGCUUCAUCGGAAGAAGGAAUUACACAAUCUUGGUGUGAAACAGAAAUAAAUAUUGUAAAGCUAUAUAAUCCACAGGUAGGAUAAAAGAAGUGAAAAAGAAAUUGACAUAUUACGAAGAAAAGAUCUGAGGUAUCAACAUUGAUGUGAAAAGGAGUAUUAAAUUAAAAUAAUGAUAAAAAAUUUGAAAAGAUUCUAAUUUUGUAGUAUCAAUAGAAAUAAAUUAAUCUUGUUUGAUUUACUAAGAAA